GUGAGCCAUCGCCUGCGCAAGAUUAUGUACGAAGCGAUCCACUGACGACACCUUCUCGUCGCUGCCGCUUCCUUUUACCAUUUUUUUUUCUGAUCAUCAUCCACCCCCUCCCCACGCCCCGCAGAUUCCUCAACUUUCUUGUGUGCCUUUGUACGCGUGCCGUAAGAUGCUCGUGCCAAAGUCAUCUGAGUCUGUGGUUACACGGCAGAAGAUCAGCUUUAAAGGGGCAAGUGGCCUGACACGGUGCUGCUGCAGAAGGAAGCUAUCGCAGAGGCUUUCCAGAAAGACGCCGCCGAGGCACUCGGCAUCUCCUGCGACGACGUCUUCGACAUCUUUUCGAGAACUUCUGCAGCGUGUCCUGCUCCGUGCGCCACGCCAAAAUUCUCUCCGAGUCGGAUGUCGGUCGCAUUCGCAUCACCAGCGCUUAUCGACGAGUAUGGAAAGUUUACUUUGCUUACAAGGGGGAAAGGCAGGGGAGGACCGAAGCUUUCUAGGCUAGUGUUGGUGCCACAGGAUCAUCGGUCCUUGCGAGCGACGACAUGGACAGCAGAGACUUAGUCACCACAGCUACACCAAACACCCCGCUCUUGAUCAACUUCCACGGCGACAACUGAGUACCAAUGCUAGAGGUGCACAUGCUUGAGCUCACGCAAGUCGGUCAGUGAGACAUCACUAACGCCUCAAAGACGGCGGCUUUGAUGAAGGAGAAGCAGUCGCUGCCAGCGUCUGCGGCGUGCUUGACGUGACGCUGGAGUAUGUGAAAGGUGGGGCAACGCUCAAGUAUAGUAUUCCGCACACCUACUCAGAUGACCAGCGUCAGCAGCAGAAGCCGUUGCUCGACCGGUACGCAUAUCCACAUGUGUGGUCAAUGUGCACGGAGCUCAGGAUGGAACCCAUCUUCGCCGAGACGCGCCACCGCGUCGUCCUUGACGGCGAUGAGUGUGAUCACGUGUUGGAGGCUGCCCAAGAGAAGGUCGGCGAGGCAUUUCACGAGGAUGUGGCUGCGCUGCUGCACCUCUCCAUAGAUGCCGUGAAUCCGUCCUCGUGCACCGGCGCCCUUGAGCUGGAGUUCAUUGUCAAGCACGCAGCAAGCAUAUCUGCGGCUAUCAUCGAUGGGGAGCUGGAGCAUGGCGACAACCAGCGCAACUGGCUCGUGCAUGAGAUAGUCACCGGGGUCUGGUCCCCCAGAACGACCCCGCAAUCGCAGAGCUGUCUCACCGAGGUGCUUUUGAUGGGGAAUGCCGCACAAAGUCACAACAGCGACGAUGCCAAGUGCGCAGUGACGACUCGACAUCGCCUGCGCUUCGGUGGUGUCCGCCUGGACAAGCGUGAUGGGGGCUCACGGUGAGGCGGCCCUGACCAGUGCGGUCGUGCAUGAUGUGUGCGCCGCCGUCGGCGUUAAGGAUGGCGAUAGCCGUCUGUUGCACUUGGAGAAGGGCAGCCUCGUGACAGAGCUGCUCGUCACGCACCUCGCCUCGCUCUCGCGAAAGGCGGUUGACGACAUGUUGGCGUCAUUCGUGUUCUUCGAGACAUGGGAGCUGCUCUCCAUGCAAGACAGGACGCCUCUCACCCUCCCGCAGGAGCACCCUUCCGAGAAUGCUCUUUCGCGGCGACGACGGAGUGGCUCUUAAGAGGAGGGGGAGGAGGAGCAACUGCGCAGCUGCUUCCAGGAAGACGUCGUCGAAUGGUUCAAGGUGCAGCCCGACGCGGUGCAGCAAAUCGAGUUCAACGCACAGAGUCUGCUAGGGAACUUUGCGCUGCAACACAGCCUCGCAUCAGACGUGAAGACACUGUGGAAGGAACUGGCCAAGUCCCCUUGCACAACCACGUGGCGGCUGUACAAGAAGUGCGGCUGCACCCACGGUGCCGUGUCGCUCAUCACCAUCUCAGCUUUCCCGGCGUCGCCUGGCUGCGCGCGAUGGAAGAGCGACUGGCCGCCCUGCUUGGCGCCCUCGUUACAGAUGUGGCAGAGCAGCUGUCAGUCCAGGAAUCGCACGUGAAGGGCGUCACCUUUACGGCAUCCCUGAAGGCGACGUUCGCCGUUUCUCCCCCUCCCCCCCCACCCCAACCACCACCCGGCACUCACGCGGCAGACCAUAGAUAGGCUGCUCGGCGAAGGGUCUUUCCCUAGCAUGCGGCAUCUGUGCAUGGGGACGGAGGCACCGGCGUCAGCGCAAAAGCGCGAGGUGCCGCCUGCCGCCGCUGCCGAGACGACAGACCCCAUGUCGACUUCCGGCAUCACCGCCUCCCUUCUGAACUCGUGCGCCGCCGACGCUGUCAUAAGUCACCAUCGCCCGCGCUUUGGCGGAGCUGAGUGGGGGCGGUCAUGAGCGAGAGCGAAGAGCAGCUGCGAAAGGCUUUCUUGGACGACGUUGAGGCUUCAGUGGGCGUGUAGGCGAAUGCUGUGCAGUCCAUGGAAUUCCUGCUAGGCAGUCUGGUCGUUGACGUCGAGCUGGUCCAUGCGCCGAGUCUUGACCGUAAAGAGAUCGACGCUCGCCUCAGCGUCUUCGAGCUCCCUCGCACCUGGGGCGUGCACCUUGACUCCACCGCGAACAAGGGGGAGGGGCCAGUCAAGCGCAUCGCCACGCAUCACCGCGUGAAGCCGGAAAGCGGCGAGUGGGGUACGCUUUUGGCAGUGCAGUUUAGUGAAUUAGAAGCAACCUUCGUGAACGAUGUGGGGGCGUCGCUGAAACUGCCAAAGGAGGUUAUCACGAGCCUAACCUUUCGCAUGGGGAAUCUUCUGGUAGACAUGUAGAUUGUUCACCCGGCGGAGUGGCCAAGAAAGGAGAAGGAUCGAUUACUCGCGUCUUGCACGCACACUGAAACGUGGACUCUGUAUCAGUCAGUGGUACUCAAGCUACCCACUGCACAAGCUACAGAGCACUGCGUCCAGAUCGACGGCGACCACUGGGCGACUGUUCUUGACCAUCAGCGGGCGGUAUUGGAGCGCGCAUUCAUCUUGGGCGUUUGUGAGGCCACACUGCUGUCCGCGUCGGCUGUGAAGGAACUCCACUUCGGCCUCGGCAGUCUCGUCGCUGCGUUCAAACAAACACACACACACACACACACACACAUAAUCACGUGUGCGAAGAGAGACUCGCGCGCUUCCCGUUAAGUCGCGCAUGUGCCAUCUGCCAGUCUCUACCCGAUCGUUGCGACGCUUCACCGUCAGGUAUAGUCACGACAGCUCACUACGUGCGACUUCAGAGAAAC
rnacentral:misc_RNA from 1 species